CAGCGAGGAUGGUUGCGCGCUCGUUUGAGCGCUCGCGCGCGGCGACCCGUCUGUCUCAUUCUUUUUUUUCUUUUUUAUAUGUAACCUGGUUUAUUGGGCUCUCGGCGUAUUCUUGCGUUCCUUCUGCACUGGGACAAGACACCACUGCACUAUUGGACUACGGCAAGCUGGUACCGUCCGGUGGAGCUUCAUACAGGAACUACUGCCUUACCUGCUGGUGUCACAAUGUUGGAUGAGCGCACAAAAAGCGCGGAACGAGCUUUUAUAUAGAGAAAAAUAAAUAUUUCCUCAUUGCACAAAA